UUACAUUUCAUGGAUUUGAAAAGCAAGUAACCAUAACUUUCGAAGCCAUUGAAUGUAUUAUGAAUAGCUUUAAAUUCUAACUUUACAAGCUGAGUAAUGCAGGCUGAACGGUUGAGCUAUAUAUUCGUCCGACACAGGUAAGUUUUACUGCGUAUCAAAAAUGAAGAAGGGUCUCCGGCUGACCAACUGCAUGGUGAAGUAAAGGUCGGGUCCUUUUGGAGAGAGGUUCCGUAGGAGAAGACUACGCUGUCUUCCCGAGCCACCUCUUGUAAUUCUGUGUAACCUUUCUUUUGAGCUGCAGCAUGAAUAAUAGAUUAGAAACAGCUAAGAUGCAUUCGAUCCAUCAAUUAUCUCAAUAACUUUGGUUAGCAUAAUCGAACUCACUUGCAAGACCA